ACUGGCAUUUCAUGGGCUGGAGCCAGGGGUGGAAAACACCUUGAUGGGUAGGACAGUCCCACAAAAGGAAGAACUGUCCUGCCCAAAAUGUGAAUAGUAACCUUGUUUAGAAAAAAAAUAGUAGAUUAGACUGAUCAUGACACACUUCCCAAAAGAACAAUCUAUCCCAGCGACGGCAGUUGAAGAGCGUUUCAGUGACGCCAUGUGAUGGGGACAUCACCCAGGUGGAGAGGGCCUGGCUGCGUUGGUACCACUGGAAAAGGUCUCCGGGUCACUGGGGACCUCAGGUUGAGUACAAGGAAGCAACAAAGGGCUCAGGGAAAUCGUCUGGACCCGAAGCUUCAAAACCGGUUUAUUUGGAUAAUCCCUCACCAGGCCUCCCUGCCUCAGCGCCUGGUUUCUCUAAGGAUUUAUUUUGUGAAAAUGUCUCUCUCAACAAGUAAGUUAUCCUAGUCUGAGCCGACGAGGGAAUUCUUCUCUGUGUUCAAAACCACAAAGCCCGGGCAGCCCUUCUGCAUCCCAGCACAACUUUCUGCAGCGUCAGGUUAUGAAUCACUCAUCAAAUCUGAAAACGAUUCCAGGCCAGGCCGGGCACGUGGGGGAGGGCAGCUUCCUUCUACUCCCAGCUUCUGGGCUGCUGCGCAGGCUCGGACCAGCUUCUCCUGACCCUGACUCCCCAAGGGGCACCUGCCUGGGACCCCAGAAAUGCCCAGACUGGGUUGGGUCUGAUCACCUGUGCCAGAUCCUUUACACAGAUGAAUUCCUUGAGGCUGUGGAUUGCCAGACAGAACGGCAGCCUGGCCCGUCGCGUGCAGCUGGAGCCUCGCACCUUGGGACGGAUGCCGUCAGGGAGCCGAGAAAACACUCCUCCCGCAGGCCACUGGGAGCUGUCAGGCAGGCGGAUCUGCAUGGAGGCCAAUUCAAGGCCCCUAAGGAAGCAAGUGACGAGACCACAGAGGUGCUGGGGUCCCAGAGGGGAAUGGCUCCCUACUGCUUCCAGUGUCAGCCAUAGCUCAUCACUCAAGGCUUCUUCUCUCAACAGACUCAAACCUCUCCUGCCAUUUCUUUCUCACACUUUGCUUCACCAUGGCUCCUACAAACCUGCCCCUUUCCAGCCUCCAGGCCUUUGCCUAGGCUGUUCCCCCUGCUAAGAAUGCCCUUCUUUCCAUCCACCAUGUAUCAAAAUCCUACCUAUCAAAUAAUGCCAUCCUGACAGCAAAGGUUGAAGGACUUUCCCCUCUGCACUCAACAUAUUCCAUCUCAUACACAAGUAUGUACGAAAAAGUGUGACCUUGGGUAUAUCACUGAACAUCUCAGAGCCUGCUUUUUUACCUGCAAAAUGAGUGUUAUUAACUAUUAUGGGCCAGGUGCAGUGGCUCACGCCUGUAAUCUCAGCACUUUGGGAGGCCGAGGCGGGCAGAUCACUUGAGAUCAGGAGUUCGAGACCAGCCUGCCCAACAUGGUGAAACCCCGUCUCUACUAAAAAUACAAAAACUUAGCUGGGUGUGGUGGUGCGUACCUAUAAUCCCAGCUAUUUGGGAGGCUGAGGCAGGAGAAUUGCUUGAACCCGGGAGGCAAAGGUUGCAGUGAGCCAAGAUCAUGCCACUGCACUCCAGCCUGGGCAACAGAGUAAGACUCCAUUUCAAAAAAAAAAAAAAGAAAAAAAAUAUUAUGCAGGGUUGUUGGGGGAAUACAUUAGAGCAUGUCAGAACCUCACCUAUGAUGGUGCCUGGCACUUAGUGGGGACUCAAUGGUAGAGGCUGCUGUGAUCAUCGACGAGGGAAAAAGAAAAGAAGAAGAAGGAGAAAGAGCAAAAAAGAAAGAAGAGGUAGAGGAAGAGGAAGAGGAAAAAGCGAUGGAGUAGGAGAAGGAGAAAGAGGAGGAAGGAGGCCUUGCCUAUCACCUCUACUAGGAUAUAAUUCUUUGCCAUCAGAACGUCGAUUCUCUUUAAUUUCCCUCUAUAUCCCCUAGCAUCCUAGAGUCUUUCAAAAAUGAUUGUUGAAUGGAUGGACAGAUGGAUGGAUGAAGGAGGGAGGGUGGGAUUGUGAGAAGGAAGGAUGUACGGACAGAUGAGCAGAAACAGAUCAGUCUGGAGGAGACGGAGUGUGCUAUCCCAGAAGCCUAGCAGCAGAGCAUCUCACUGGCAGCAGAGGCUUCUGGGACCAGAUGCCAAAUCUGUUCCCCUGCUGUUGCAUCUCCUCCUGGCUCUAAGCUCCUGUGCUCCUGGCCAGCAUCGGUCUGCUCUCAAGGUGGAGUGAGUAGAAGCUCGGGGCAGCUGACACCCAGGGGAGUUCCAGCUCUUCCCCCACCUGUCACCAGCCUCUGACAGCAGGAACAUAUCUCCAAAAGUGUGGGCCAAGUCAGUGGGAAAAUAGGAUUUACUUUACAGAAAUUCACUUUGGGGGCCAACUUCUCCAGAACUCUGCAGUGCAAAAACCUUGGCAAAUCCAUAGUCAAUGGCUCAGAAGGUUUCUCCAAACCUGGGGAGUGUGCUGUUUGCUAGCUCUUUCCAGGACCAGAAACUGGAAAAUGAGGAAAUGUCACAGUCCAGAUACAAAAGGGAGUCUCAGGGGGAGAAAUGUACUCUGGUUUUUGGUGUUUGUUUAUUUAUCCAUCAAUUUCAUUGAUGUAUCCAUCCGACUAUCCAAAGCAGGCAACCAUCCUGCCAUUGUCCCUUCACUCACGAAACCAUCCUGUUAUCUAUCUAUCUACCUCUCCAUCUAUUCAGCCAACCAGCCAACCAUCAACCACCCAACAAUCUACCUCACCAUCAACCCAACCAUCCAAUCCAUGCACUUAUCUUCUAUCUAUCCAGCCACUUAUCUAUCUAACCAUCAAUCACUCAUCUACUCAUCCAACUGCUGAGCUGCUCACCCAACCAUCUAACUGUACACUACCCAACCAGCAUGGAUGAGAAUCUCCCAGUACAAUUGGGGAGAAACCUAUAUACAUGGUAUGGCAUAACCUAGGCAAUAUAAAAGGGUUGCGUAUAAGGUGCCACCAAGGACACAGAGGCCACAAAGAGCAGAAGCGGGAGGGGCCAGUGAGAGAGAUCAGAGCAGGCUUCACACAGGAAGAGAUGCUCAAGCUUCAUCUUAACAGACAGCAAGAAGUGACCAGGGAGAGAUGGUGAAAAGGGUACCCAGGUGAGGAGGAGAGGGAAGAGCAACAUAAAACAGUAUGGUGGAUUCUAGGAGCCCAAAGCCUUGAGUCCUCAAAACUACUUGGUUAGCUGUGGGCCCUGGGCCCGUCCCCAGUUUUUCCAAGUCCACCAGACUCUAUAAUUCCCUCUUGAUUCCUAGAGAGAAAGGGCCAUGUCCUGUGGCAGCUGGGUGGGAAGCUGCCAUCUGCUGCCCUGGGCUGUGCUCUGAUGGCUACAACAGGGUUAAACCCAGGAGGGAGAGAAAAGUGGGCACCCUGAGAUUUUGUGAAACAGGCUUUGCUACCAAGCGAACCCAGGUAGAAAUCCCAACUUCUUAUUUUGCGACAAGUUAUUUAACUUCUGCGUCUUUCUUCGCCUUCUUCUGAAAAUGAAGAAAACACCAAGAGCUCUAUGCUAGGCCAUUGUGAGGACGGAACCAGCUAAUACAGAGGGAGUACUUGGUAAGCUGUGGGAAAUACUAG
rnacentral:lncRNA from 1 species